ACACGACGUAACUCGGCUCAUAACCGUAGCUGUCGGAGCAGUGUGCUCACGUGAUAGAGCGGCUGUGUGUAUUUGUAGCCUCCUAGCAAACCAGCAUUUCAUCUCCGAGGAAGUUAUCCCAGAGAGAAGUAAAGCAAGUGUGCUGCACUUGGUGGACCAUUGAAGCCCAAAAAGAAUAAGACCGGUUUCAGCGAUCCAGCUCCAGAAGUAACUCCAGCUGCUGGAACUUCAAAGGUUCAGAGUGCACCCGUCCAGACCGGGAGAAUUGAAAUCAAAUCCGUCUCAGCCAUCAAUAAAAACAUCGCUCGGGUUAAGGUGGAGGUGAAGAAGCAGCAGGAGUUCUACGUGUCAACUCAAAAACUGGCAGAGGUCCUCGGCUAUAACAUGGAGGACGGGGUUGAAGGCAGAAUCAGUCGUGCCAUGCCAAUCUCAGCCGAGGCUAAAAUGCGAGAGGAUCAGAUUGUAGAGAUUAAAAAAGUAUUUUAAGAAGAACUCAUUUGUACAUUU